rnacentral:tRNA from 1 species
GCCUUCGUGGUGUAGUGAUCAGCACGCUGGGUAUGUGUAUUCCAGAGGUCCGUGGUUCGAUUCUCGGCGAAAGCG